GGCAUAUGCCCCAAAAAAAGCCCUUGCAAAUGGCUCUUAGCUUCUAUGCUUCUUUUGCUAUCUGCAGUUUCAAGAAAAUCCAUGUUAGAAGCAGCAGCUACUUCCCAGUUGGAUCAGCAAGCUCAGUUCGAUAUGGUACGGUUGCCCCUAGAAUUUCCAGCCAACACAUUUUUAGAAGAUCAGCAAAUUACCAACCUUCCAUAUGGGACUAUGAUUAUGUGCAAUCACUCACGAGUGAAUUUCUGGGAGAAGUACACACAAAACGAAUCAACAAGCUUAAGGAAGAAGUAAGGAAGAUGCUUGUUAAUAGCCAAGAGAUGAUGAACCCUUUAGAUCAAGUAGAACUAAUUGAUACUUUGCAAAGACUUGGAAUAGGUUACCAUUUUCAAGAUGAAAUCAAGAACACACUAGUGAACGUUUUCCAUGAGAUUUUCAAUCGUUUCAAGGACCAGCAAGGAAAAUUCAAAGCGGGCUUGUGUGAGAAUAUUGAGGGAAUGCUGUCUUUGUAUGAAGCGUCGUAUCUCUUUGAAGAAGGUGAGAGUGUCUUGGAGGAUGCAAGAAAAUUUUCAACCGAACGUCACAGCAAGUAUGUGGAACAGAACAAGGACUCCCACUCCUAUCUUUCUAUGUUAGUAAGCCAUGCCUUGGAGCUCCCAUUGCAUUGGAGGGUGCCAAGGUUGGAAACCAGGUGGUUCAUACAUGUCUGUGAGAGAAAACAAACCUUGAAUCCUCUUCUUCUAAAGCUUGCUAAAUUGGAUUUCAACUAUGUUCAAGCGGUGCACCAGCAAGAUCUGAAAUAUGUGUCAUGGUGGUGGAACAGUAUAAGACUCGGGGAAAAGUUGAGCUUUGCAAGAUAAAGGCUAAGGCAAAACUUCUUAUGGUCGGAGAAUGUCCACAAAGGUCAAUUCUCUAGUAACAAUAAUUGAUGAUAUUUAUGAUGUCUACGGAACAAUGGAUGAACUCCAGCUCUUCACCGACGCCUCUGAAAGGUUUCUACUUAUAGUAGCAUUAAUUCUAUCUUAACAGCAUCAAUUUACGCAUAUCUAUGUUGCUUCUUUUUUAUGGAUUUUGAAUUUCAGAUGGCAUGUGAAUGCAAUUGAGCCUCUUCCAGAGUAUAUGAAGAUAACUUUCCUAGCCCUCUACAACUCCAUCAACGAAAUGGGUUUUGAUGCUCUGAGGAAACAAGGAUUUAACAUCAUUCCUUACCUCAAGAAAUCGGUGCAGAUUUAUUAUCAUCUUAAUUAAUUCCUUAAAUGAAUUGUCUAAACCAUUGAAUUAAUUAGUUUCAGUGGGCAGAAUUAUGUAAAUGUUAUCUGUUGGAGGCUAAUUGGUACUGCAGUGGAUAUAUGCCAACUUUGCUGGAGUACAUUGACAGAGCUUGGCUUUCCAUAUCAGCUCCGCUGAUACUUCUUCAUUAUUAUGUUUUUGUGGAAAAUCCUAUUACAGAUGAGGCAUUUGAAUGCUUAAGAUCCUGACAUAAUUCGAUACUCAUCAAUCAUUAUGAGGCUUGCAAACGACCUUGAAACAUCCUCGGAUGAAUUAAAGAGAGGAGAUGUUUCAAAAUCAAUUCAAUGUUACAUAAAGGAAACAGGAGCUUCAGAACAAGAAGAAGCCAGAAAGAACAGAAGAAACCUAAUUAGGGAAGCAUGGAUGAAGAAACGAAGAUAGAUUUGGCAAUGGUAAUGGCAAUGGUAAUGAUCAUCUCUCAGAAACUUUUGCUGGCAUCGCAAUCAACCUAGCCAGGAUGUCACAGUGCAUUUACCAGCAUGGAGAUGGCCAUGCUGUUGAGGACUCCACUAGCAAGGAUCGCAUCUUUUCAUUGCUUGUUCACCCUAUUCCUUUGUAGCUCCUUCUUCAGACUUCAGAUGCUAAUGGGGAAAAUCAAUUUAUAACAAAUUUUAAAUAUCCUAUUUCUGCAAUGGAGUGGUGUAUGAUGAUGAUGUGAGUUUUAUCCUUCUCACGAAACUUCCUAUACUUUUUUCCCCUUACAUUAUUACUAAAUACCAGAGGAGAAGAAUACUGGUCAGAAGAAAUAUCCAAGAAGAUUUUGGGCUUGAGAUGCAUCUUCAAUGAAUGUUUAGAUUUGAAAAGAGAAGAUCCUCCAAAGUAGGGGAUGUACUACUCCUUGUUCUUCUCACCAAAAAACUUAAAAAACUCCCUUCUGCUAGGCCAUUCUUCCGAGUGAAAAAUUGUUGCAAACUGAAGUGGUGCCAUGUAUUGUGGCAAGGAGGGAAGUAACAUUUUCAAGUAUGAAGAAUUUUCAUCGGCUAAAGCUAUUAAGACGCUGGAGGAAAGAGGAGUAGUCGUUAUGCUAAGCUAGAACCCUUAUUAGGUUUGUUGUAUUUUUGUUACUCUAUUGUAUUCGUUUGCAUAUAAAUAUUUGUAUUCCCA
rnacentral:misc_RNA from 1 species